rnacentral:rRNA from 1 species
CCUACGGGAGGCAGCAGUAAGGAAUAUUGGUCAAUGGGCGGAAGCCUGAACCAGCCAUGCCGCGUGCAGGAAGACGGCCCUACGGGUUGUAAACUGCUUUUGCAGGGGAAUAAACCUUCGUAUGUAUACGAAGCUGAAUGUACUCUGAGAAUAAGGAUCGGCUAACCCCGUGCCAGCAGCCGCGGUAAUACGGAGGAUCCAAGCGUUAUCCGGAUUUAUUGGGUUUAAAGGGUGCGUAGGCGGCCAAUUAAGUCAGGGGUGAAAGACGGUAGCUUAACUAUCGCAGUGCCUUUGAUACUGAUUGGCUUGAAUGGACUAGAGGUAGGCGGAAUGUGACAAGUAGCGGUGAAAUGCAUAGAUAUGUCACAGAACACCAAUUGCGAAGGCAGCUUACUAUGGUUUAAUUGACGCUGAGGCACGAAAGCGUGGGGAUCAAACAGGAUUAGAUACCCUGGUAGUCCACGCCCUAAACGAUGAACACUCGAUGUUAGCGAUAUACAGUUAGCGUCUAAGCGAAAGCGUUAAGUGUUCCACCUGGGGAGUACGCCCGCAAGGUGAAACUCAAAGAUAGUGCGNGNGAGAGCGACGACGACGACGACGGAGGAGGAGG